GGGCCCGCACAAGCGGUGGAGCAUGUGGUUUAAUUCGAUGAUACGCGAGGAACCUUACCAGGGUUUAAAUGCAGAACGACAGGGGUGGAAACACCCCCUUCUUCGGACGGACUGCAAGGUGCUGCAUGGUUGUCGUCAGCUCGUGCUGUGAAGUGUCGGGUUAAGUCCCAUAACGAGCGCAACCCCCAUUUCUAGUUGCCAGCGGUUCGGCCGGGGACUCUAGAGAAACUGCCAGCGUAAGCUGUGAGGAAGGUGGGGAUGACGUCAAAUCAUCACGGCCCUUACGUCCUGGGCUACACACGUGCUACAAUGGUAGGGACAGAGAGUUGCCAACCCGCGAGGGUGAG
rnacentral:rRNA from 1 species